UAUUAUUUGUUGCAACUGGUUGUUAUACAUGAGCAGUGUAUGGCGCGCCUGCGCGCCGGCGCAACAGAGUGAGAGGGGAACGUAGAGCCGAGGGGACGCGUUGAACUUGCCCUCUCAGCUAUUUCGGCGCGGUUGUUGUGACGCGAGUGUUGAUAACGAAACACAGCAUAAUGAACAUCAUGCGCCGUAGGGGCCCAGCAGCGUCUCCAAAGUCACUUCACUACAGUCACGCCUACACGUCAGACGUGUCUCGGGAGGCGCGGAGAGUAAAUCCCAGUAAAUCCCCGAGUUCUCAUCCCGAUAAAUCCCCAAGUGUAAUCCCUUGCAUACAACCAAGAGGACGCCUGUUCCCCGCACUGUAUCACGCAGAGGAGAGGACGACUUGCUGUGUUUGUGCUGGUGGUGUUCAUCUGUAGAACCGACUGAACCCGCUAAAGUGUUUGACCGCUUCUGAAUACAAAGAGCGCGUACUGCACAGCUCGUUUCAGUCACCUCCAGUAUAAUACAUUAAUAAGCGUCGGAUGGCGCUUACAAUACAUAUACCUCCACAUUGUAACUGUCAGCUUUUAAUAAAUGUUCAAAAUGUUCAAUGCUCUCUCAAGCCGUUGUUAGUGUAUAUAAGUGUAGACACAGCAACCUAAUGAUUUUUUAAUGUUGCUGUUUUAUAUUUACUUGUGUUCCGUAAUGUAAUUUGAAAUCUUUCAGUAACUCAUCUUAGGUAUUAUAACAAACAGGCUGUACUGGAAAUGAUUGUGCCAAGGGUGUAUUCGUGAUUCUAGUGAUAGUUUAAUAAGGAUUCUGCAUCAUUUAUGAGAAGAUCCAUGAAAACCUGGAUUCUCAAUUCUGCGGCCUUUGAAAAUCUCCUUAAUUAACGACCGAAGCGUUUCAAAACACAGGCUCGUCUAACUCGAGUAUCGAAGCAUCUUUACACUCACAAACUCACUAUAUUAUAUUGCUUACAUUAUUGCCAUUUUUCCAUAUAAAUGACAACUAAGUGCUUUGAGCCAGGAAUUAAAAAAAAAAAAAAAUGCAUUGAUAGUUUGUUAAGAAUUUCAAACAUUUGUUUUGCUUUUAUCGUCACCAUCUGAGGAAAUAUUGUGGGUUACCUUUUAGACCACCCAAGUCAGUUGCUGCUCCCCUCGUAUGGUUUACAUGUCACGGAACGCACGGCCAAGCUCAACAUCGGACGGUCAUAUAGAAUCUUAUCCCUCCAUUUAGUCUCAUUUCACGCGCGUAUUUCGGAAGGGGAAGUGAUAAAUGAGGGCGAAAACAAGAGGAAAUUAUAUAGUUAGUAAUAGUGGAGCUUCUUGCAUAAAUAACGAGAGAGGGAGAGAGAGAGAGAGAGAGAGAGAGAGAGAGAGAGAGAGAGGAGGGGGGUACAGUGGACUUUACCUAAGCAGAAAGUGAUUAACAGAUUAUUUUGCACUCUGCAUCUUCGUUUUCUAUUCAGAAUGCACCCAACUUCCCUCAUCCUCCCUUCCAAUGCGAGCUUCUUGCUGACACAAACUGAACUUGAAAUUUGGGAAGUUUGUCCCUAAACUGGGAAAUACGAAGCAGUGUAGGGAAAAUGAGGGAGGAAUCAAGACAGAACAGCAUCAGUGGUACAAAUAAAUGAGGCAGACAAAUAAUAAAAAAGAGAUCCUCUAACUGAAAAUUACACAAUCAGCGGAUGAAGUGUGAGGGGUCUUGAUGAUGUACGUAGGAGCAAACAGGCCAACCAAUCAUCACGAGAACAACAGAAAAAUGUACGAGAUGAUGAAAUUAAUUAAAGGAUUCUGUAACAUAAUAACUGACUAAUUAGGACUGACAUGAAAGGGUACAUUUGACUCAACAAUGAAACAGUAAAUAUGAGUGAUCAGUUGUUAUCUGGCUUCACAGAAAUCACCAAAAUGAAAAUAAAGAAAUGGGAACUGGAAGACCAAGUAACAUUGCAUGACAGAGGAGCUGAGACUAUCACUGAUUACAUCAUCUUAUAUACGAAAAAUACGAAAAAAAAAAUAAACACGAAAAGUACGAAAAAUGCGAUGCACCAUCUGGGAAAUGACCAAAUAGAAAUAUCAGACCAGAAUCUGAUAGGAAUUUGUGCAAAAAUACCAAGAGAAAAAAAAAAGAAAAGAAAAGAAGAAAAGAGGAUAAAUACAUGGAAAUUGGAAGAUGCAAACUGGGGAAAAUGUAGUGAGAAAGUGUUUCUAAUAAUAUUACGGAAAAUGAGCGAAACAGAGAUGUAAACACUUGGGAAACUGAAAUUAAGGAAAUUCUAAAACAAGAAGCUUCAUCCGAAAUAAGAACUAAGGCCGGCCACACACGUGCAGUUAAAACUGUCAGUUUGGACUGUUCAGUUAUAACUGACAGUUUUAACUGACGUGUGUGGGACCAUCAGUCUCAGUUCAACAGAACUGCGCAGUUCGACUGAAGGAAAUAGAAAAGUUAAAAGUUUUAACUGUCAACUGUGGCUGUUUGACUGAGAACUGAGCGUGUGUGGGGCUUAACUGCGCAGUCCUCAGUUGACUUUCAGAUUGGACGGAAACACCAUGUGAGGGAAACACUUUACUUUUGGUAACGUUUCGUACAGAGUACUUCCUCAGAAGUACUCUGUACGAGAUAUUCUAGUGGAGAACUUAAGGCACUCAUAUGAUCGUCCUGUCGCUAGAAACCUUAAGGUAGCUGUUAGUCUUUCAUGAGGCGAUAUAGCACUGCGCAUUAUUGUAUCUUUCUUUUUAAUGAAAGGAGAUACCAGGGAAAGCAAUUUUUGGUACACAUUUUCACUCAUUCGUAGGUAAUUUUGAAAAUCUUUUGCUUCAUCACUUAUUUCUCUCAGUAAUUGAACAUCAGAAGAUUUAUUUCGCCUCAGCAACCACUUCUUGCACCACUGUUUGCGCUUCUUAGUGUUUUUUUUCCUAUUUUCUUGUGCCAUUACUAGUAAUACCCCGAGCGCUGCUAGAUCGUCCUCCUCGGAAUCCAUGGUUAAACUGAACGAUUCAACUGUACGUCUGUGGACUUGUCAGUUGACAGUUAAAACUGUCAGUUAUAACUGAACAGUCCAAACUGACAGUUUUAACUGCACGAGUGUGGCCGGCCUAAGAAACUUAA